rnacentral:rRNA from 1 species
CCUACGGGAGGCAGCAGUGAGGAAUAUUGGGCAAUGGACGAGAGUCUGAACCAGCCAAGUAGCGUGAAGGAUGACUGCCCUAUGGGUUGUAAACUUCUUUUAUAUGGGAAUACAAUGUUCUACGUGUGGGAUUUUGUAUGUACCAUAUGAAUAAGGAUCGGCUAACUCCGUGCCAGCAGCCGCGGUAAUACGGAGGAUCCGAGCGUUAUCCGGAUUUAUUGGGUUUAAAGGGAGCGUAGGUGGAUUGUUAAGUCAGUUGUGAAAGUUUGCGGCUCAACCGUAAAAUUGCAGUUGAAACUGGCAGUCUUGAGUACAGUAGAGGUGGGCGGAAUUCGUGGUGUAGCGGUGAAAUGCUUAGAUAUAACGAAGAACUCCGAUUGCGAAGGCAGUUCACUGGACUGCAACUGACACUGAGGCUCGAAAGUGUGGGUAUCAAACAGGAUUAGAUACCCUUGUAGUC